AGAAUUGAUGCAUUUCUUGCAUUUGUGCUUCAUAGCUCUUCUUGUUUUCCUUCUGCUAUGCUAAUUCCAAUUAUGCUCAUUGCACUUUGAAGCUCAAUUUCAAUUUCUUGUGCAUUUGACGAAUACAUCAACCAAAUCAAGAAACCAAAAAUUGAGUCUUGGCGGUCAAGAGCAUGGAAGAACCAUAAAAUACAAACUCAAAAAGGUUUUGGAUGCUUACAGUUUCUGUUAAGUUGAAUCAUCAAAUUGUUCACCUUUCAUUUCGUAACUUAAACUGCAUAUUCAAAAAGUUCAAUCGAAAUUAUUAAUAGGUCAGGAAAUAGAAAUAGGAAUUCACUCCAUUCAUAUACAAAUUCUCAUAAACAAAUAUGCAGUACAUGUUACAUAAAUUAAGGGAAAAAAACAUACAAAUAUAGAUACAAUAUGGAUACUACAUGUGCCGUCCUUUUCUCUCAUGUUACCCUUUUUAGGGCUUAAUAAUGCAUUUCCUUGAAAAACAAACCCGUAACCUCCAUAUCCUGACUUAUAUUAUCAUUAAUAUGUGCAAACACACUUGUUUAUGUAUAAUAGAUGAAGUCAUAGAACCCACUUUUUAACUUGCCUCAAACCCGAAAAGUGAGACAUAAUUCUUGUAGUAUUAAUAGCUACAAACAAGCAAUCAUGGGCAUCCUAAGUAACCUAAAGCAACUCAAAUUCAAUGAUAAACAAGUAAAAUACGAUAAAACCAUCACAAAGAGCAUAUCGCUUUGCCGAUCUCCUAAAUAACAUGCAAAUGGUAACACUCCAUGUCAAAAUAAUUUGAUGUGUGUAUAUUAAGUGAUCAAGUGCAAUUAUACCUCGGCCUUUUCACAUGACAUAAAAAUCAGAUGUUAUGACUGUAAAUCUGCAAUGUCCUCGUAGCUCGAAAUAACUGUAUCAACGGACUUCUUUUCAAUCUGGAACAGAACAAGU
rnacentral:lncRNA from 1 species